rnacentral:rRNA from 1 species
UACGGAGGAUGCGAGCGUUAUCCGGAUUUAUUGGGUUUAAAGGGUGCGCAGGCGGCGUGUCAAGUCAGCGGUAAAAUGUCGGGGCUCAACCCCGGCCGGCCGUUGAAACUGGCGUGCUCGAGUUGGAGAGAAGUAUGCGGAAUUCGUGGUGUAGCGGUGAAAUGCAUAGAUAUCACGAAGAACCCCGAUUGCGAAGACAGCAUACCGGCUCCACACUGACGCUGAGGCACGAAAGCGUGGGUAUCGAACAGG